AACGAACGCUGGCGGCAUGCCUAAUACAUGCAAGUCGAACGAUCACUUCGGUGGUAGUGGCGCACGGGUGCGUAACGCGUGGGAAUCUGCCCUUGGGUUCGGAAUAACGUCGGGAAACUGACGCUAAUACAGGAUGAUGACGUAAGUCCAAAGAUUUAUCGCCCAGGGAUGAGCCCGCGUAGGAUUAGCGAGUUGGUGGGGUAAAGGCCUACCAAGGCGACGAUCCUUAGCUGGUCUGAGGGGAUGAUCAGCCACAGUGGGACUGAGACACGGCCCAGAAUCCUACGGGAGGCAGCAGUAGGGAAUAGUGGACAGUUGGGGCAACCCUGAGCCAGCAAUGCCGCGUGAGUGAUGAAGGCCUUAGGGUUGUAAAGCUCUUUUACCAGGGAUGAUAAUGACAGUACCAGGAGAAUAAGCCCCGGCUAACUCCGUGCCAGCAGCCGCGGUAA
rnacentral:rRNA from 1 species